AUACGGAGGGUGCGAGCGUUGUUCGGAAUUAUUGGGCGUAAAGCGCGUGUAGGCGGUCUUUUAAGUCUGAUGUGAAAGCCCCGGGCUCAACCUGGGAAGUGCAUUGGAAACUGGGAGACUUGAAUACGGGAGAGGGUAGUGGAAUUCCUAGUGUAGGUGUGAAAUCCGUAGAUAUUAGGAGGAACACCGGUGGCGAAGGCGGCUACCUGGACCGAUAUUGACGCUGAGACGCGAAAGCGUGGGUAGC
rnacentral:rRNA from 1 species